rnacentral:rRNA from 1 species
GUGAGGAAUUUUCCGCAAUGGGCGAAAGCCUGACGGAGCAAUGCCGCGUGAAGGAUGAAGGCCUAUGGGUUGUAAACUUCUUUUCUCAGAAAAGAAUUAUGACGGUAUCUGAGGAAUAAGCAUCGGCUAACUAUGUGCCAGCAGCCGCGGUAAGACAGAGGAUGCAAGCGUUAUCCGGAAUGAUUGGGCGUAAAGCGUCUGUAGGUUGUUUAAAAAGUAUUCUGUCAAAGAUUAGGGCUUAACCCUAGAUAGGCAGAAUAAACUUUUAAGCUAGAGUUUGGUAGAGGCAGAGGGAAUUCCCGGUGGAGCGGUGAAAUGCGUAGAUAUCGGGAGGAACACCAAAGGCGAAGGCACUCUGCUGGGCCAAUACUAACACUGAGAGACGAAAGCGAGGGGAGCAAAUGGGAUUAGAUACCCCGGUAGUCC